CCUACGGGUGGCAGCAGUGAGGAAUAUUGGUCAAUGGACGAGAGUCUGAACCAGCCAAGUAGCGUGAAGGAUGACUGCCCUAUGGGUUGUAAACUUCUUUUAUAUGGGAAUAAAAUGUUCCACGUGUGGGAUUUUGUAUGUACCAUAUGAAUAAGGAUCGGCUAACUCCGUGCCAGCAGCCGCGGUAAUACGGAGGAUCCGAGCGUUAUCCGGAUUUAUUGGGUUUCAAGGGAGCGUAGGUGGGUUGUUAAGUCAGUUGUGAAAGUUUGCGGCUCAACCGUAAAAUUGCAGUUGAAACUGGCAGUCUUGAGUACAGUAGAGGUGGGCGGAAUGCGUGGGGGAGCGGUGAAAUGCUUAGAGAUCACGAAGAACUCCGAUUGCGAAGGCAGUUCACUGGACUGCAACUGACACUGAGGCGCGAAAGUGUGGGUAUCAAACAGGAUUAGAUACCCGGGUAGGC
rnacentral:rRNA from 1 species